rnacentral:sRNA from 1 species
UAUCUUCUUCUUUUUGUUU